rnacentral:rRNA from 1 species
CCUACGGGAGACAGCAGUGGGGAAUAUUGGGCAAUGGACGCAAGUCUGACCCAGCAACGCCGCGUGAAGGAAGAAGGCUUUCGGGUUGUAAACUUCUUUUAAGGGGGAAGAGCAGAAGACGGUACCCCUUGAAUAAGCCACGGCUAACUACGUCCCCGCAGCCGCGGUAAUCCGUAGGUGGCAAGCGUUGUCCGGAUUUCCUGGGUGUAAAGGGCGGGCAGCCGGGGGGACAAGUCAGAUGUGAAAUCCACGGGCUCAACCCGUGAACUGCAUUUGAAACUGUUUUUCUUGAGUACUGGAGAGGCAGACGGAAUUCCUUGUGUAGCGGUGGAAUGCGGAGAUAUAAGGAGGAACACCAGUGGCGAAGGCGGUCUGCUGGACAGCAACUGACGGUGAGGCGCGAAAGCGUGGGGAGCAAACAGGAUUAGAUACCCCUGUAGUC